rnacentral:rRNA from 1 species
UACGGAGGGUGCGAGCGUUGUCCGGAAUCACUGGGCGUAAAGGGCGCGUAGGCGGCCUGAUAAGUAGGGGGUGAAAUCCUGCGGCUUAACCGCGGGGCUGCCUUCUAAACUGUCAGGCUGGAGCACAGUAGAGGCAGGUGGAAUUCCCGGUGUAGCGGUGGAAUGCGUAGAGAUCGGGAAGAACAUCAGUGGCGAAGGCGGCCUGCUGGGCUGUUGCUGACGCUGAGGCGCGACAGCGUGGGGAGCAAACAGG